UGCGGGUGUAGUUUAGUGGUAAAACUACAGCCUUCCAAGCUGUUGUCGCGAGUUCGNGGUCGUAGGUUCAAAUCCUGCUCCCGCAA
rnacentral:tRNA from 1 species